CGUCCAAGACAUCACCACUUCUGCAACUUCUCUUAGGAAGAGGGGGCAAUUUCAUGAACAAUUCACACGUCAAGAAGCAGAGGCUGAAUUAUGAUAGGGCAGAUAGAAUCAGUAGUUUACCUGAUGGUGUUUCUUAUCCACAUGCUCUCUCUUUUUUUCCGACUGCCGAUGCUGUUCAGACCUGCAUACUAUCAAAAAGGUGGGAAUUGAUUCCUCUGGACUGGGCAGCUAGAGAACAGGUUCUGGGUUAAUUUAGUGCCUGAAAAAGUGACAAGAGAUAGACACAAUGUAAUGUAUCGGAACAUUACUGCAUCCCAUUCGUUAGAACCCUAAUGAUGGAAUCUGGAGGACACUUUUCGGUCACUGCAUUCAUUAAGUUCGUGGUUGACCGUAGCCGUAGAUGUGCUACUACGCUUCGGCUCCCCUUCUGUUGCGAUGUCGAGGCAUUGAAGGCUUUGUAUCUCAAUAAUGAUGAU
rnacentral:lncRNA from 1 species